CUCGGAGUUUGAUCCUGGCUCAGAUUGAACGCUGGCGGAAUGCUUUUACACAUGCAAGUCGAACGGUAGAGGGGGCAACCCCUUGAGAGUGGCGAACGGGUGAGUAAUAUAUCGGAACGUGCCCAGUCGUGGGGGAUAACGUAGCGAAAGUUACGCUAAUACCGCAUACGAUCUACGGAUGAAAGCGGGGGACUCACAAGAGCCUCGCGCGAUUGGAGCGGCCGAUAUCAGAUUAGGUAGUUGGUGGGGUAAAGGCUCACCAAGCCAACGAUCUGUAGCUGGUCUGAGAGUACGACCAGCCACACUGGAACUGAGACACGGUCCAGACUCCGUACGGGA
rnacentral:rRNA from 1 species